GAUGAACGCUAGCUAUAGGCUUAACACAUGCAAGUCGAGGGACCGGCGCACGGGUGAGUAACGCGUAUCCAACCUGCCCAUAACUAAGGGAUAACCCAGCGAAAGUUGGACUAAUACCUUAUGGUUAUGGAUGGGGAUGCGUCUGAUUAGCUUGUUGGCGGGGUAACGGCCCACCAAGGCAACGAUCAGUAGGGGUUCUUAGAGGAAGUUCCCCCACAUUGGACCGGAGACCCGUUCCAAACUCCUACGGGAGGACGCAUUGAGGAAUAUUGGUCAAUGGACGCAAGCCUGAUGCAGCCAUGCCGCGUGUAUGAAGAAGGCCUAGGGUUGUAAAGUACUUUCAGUCGGGAGGCGUUACCGACAGAAGAAGCACCGGCUAACUCCGUGCCAGCAGCCGCGGUAAUUC
rnacentral:rRNA from 1 species